UACGAAGGGGGCUAGCGUUGCUCGGAAUCACUGGGCGUAAAGGGUGCGUAGGCGGGUCUUUAAGUCAGGGGUGAAAUCCUGGAGCUCAACUCCAGAACUGCCUUUGAUACUGAAGAUCUUGAGUUCGGGAGAGGUGAGUGGAACUGCGAGUGUAGAGGUGAAAUUCGUAGAUAUCGGGAGGAACACCAGUGGCGAAGGCGGCUCACUGGCCCGGUACUGACGCUGAGGUGCGAAAGCGUGGGGAGCAAACAGG
rnacentral:rRNA from 1 species